AUGGAUCCCCAUCCACGGGCGCACGUUCCUCUACUGGUUCGGAUCCAGGCCGACCCUGUGCGUGGCCGACGUGAACGUGGUGAAGCAGGUGCUCUCCGACCGCAGCGGGCUGUACCCCAAGAACAUCGGCAACCCGCACAUCGCCCGGCUGCUCGGCAAGGGGCUCGUGCUCACCGACGCUGGAAGCGCCACCGCAAGGUCGUCCACCCUGCCUUCAACAUGGACAAGCUCAAGAUGAUGACGGUGACCAUGUCCGACUGCGCUGGGUCAAUGAUGUCUGAGUGGAAGGCAAAGAUGGAGAAGGGUGGCGACAUAGAGAUUGAGCUGAGCAGCCAAUUUGAGGAGCUAACCGCUGAUGUGAUCUCGCACACGGCAUUCGGGAGCAGCUACGAACAGGGGAAAAAGGUCUUCUUGGCACAGAGGGAGCUCCAGUUUCUUGCCUACUCCACUGUAUUUAACGUACAAAUCCCAGCAUUGAGGUACCUUCCAACUGAAAAGAACCUUAAGAUAUGGAAGCUUGACAAGGAGGUGAGGAGCAUGCUCAUGAACAUCAUCAAAACCCGCCUUGAGAACAAAGACACCAUGGGUUACGGCAACGACCUACUCGGGCUCAUGUUGGAGGCGUGCGCACCAGAGCAUGGGCAAAAUCCUAUUUUGAGCAUGGACGAGAUCAUAGAUGAGUGCAAGACCUUCUUCUUCGCAGGGCAUGACACCAGCUCACACCUGCUCACAUGGACCAUGUUCUUGUUGAGCACACACCCAGAGUGGCAGGAGAAGCUCAGAGAGGAGGUGCUGAGGGAGUGUGGCAAUGGGGCUCCCACCGGAGACAUGCUCAACAAACUGCAGUUGGUCAACAUGUUCUUGCUGGAAACUCUUAGGUUGUAUGGCCCUGUAGCUGUCAUUCAGAGAAAGGCAUGUUCAGAUCUCGAGGUCGGUGGCAUCAAAGUGCCCGAAGGCACAGUGCUCACAAUCCCCAUCGCAACGAUACAUCGUGACAAGGAGGUCUGGGGGGAGGACGCCAAUGAAUUCAAGCCUAUGAGAUUCGAGAAUGGAGUGACACGAGCCGGAAAGCACCCCAAUGCCUUGUUGUCUUUCUCUAGUGGGCCUAGGUCUUGCAUAGGGCAAAACUUUGCUAUGAUUGAGGCCAAAGCCGUGAUCGCCAUGAUUCUUCAGAGGUUCUCAUUCUCCCUAUCCCCUAAGUACGUCCAUGCCCCGAUGGGCAUGAUCACAGUGCGACCCAAGUUUGGGCUUCCCAUGGUCCUUAUGAGCCUAGAGAUGUAG
rnacentral:rRNA from 1 species